UCUGGAUGAUGACAAGCAAAUACUGGCUGAAAUAUGAAGGCCUUAAUUAGCUCCAACUGAUU
rnacentral:snoRNA from 1 species